GUGCUCUCCUCGGCUGCACACAUACCGAAGCUAGAAGCAUACAGAGGAGAUCAGCAUGGCCCCUGGGCAAGGAUGACAUGCAUGUUCGUGAAGCAUCUCCUCUUUUU
ensembl:snRNA U6 U6 spliceosomal RNA